UCAAGCCCUCCACGCUCCCCGGUCUCCUACGUCGCGCCUCCACUCCGGCGACAGCGGCUGCGCCCCCCCAGCCGCCGGCCUUCUCCUUCUCCUCCUCGUCCUUCUAAUCCAGUCCUCGCCAUGGCCGGCGGCAGAGAUUCUGGAGGGGCGGAGGAGGACGACGUCGACCACUACGCCGUCCUCGGCCUCCCCUCCGGCGAGGAGGGCGCUUCCCUGACCCUUAAGCAGAUCGAGAAGGCCUACCGCGACCAGUCCGGCCUUCGCCACCCGGACAAGCGCCCCGAGGAGCCCAACGCCACCGCGGACUUGCAGCGCCUCAGGUCCUCCUUCGAGCUCCUCAAGGACGAGCCCUAGCGCGAGUUCGACGCUCGCCUCCAUGCCCGCCGUGACCUCGCCCUCCGCCACUCUACCCUCAGCGCCGAGCGCCGCAAGCUCGCAGCAGACCUCGACGAGAGGGAGCGCGCAGCGGCAGCAGGGGGGAAGGAGUAUAACGGAUAUCUCUUCAUCCGAUGGCCUGUCUUGAGUUCUUCCCUCAGUCUGUUCUAACAACUUGGUUAUUCUUGUUAUGACGGUUGUAUUGUUAUAACAACCUCCUGUACCUGAUCGGGUCUAUAUAUAUCCGUUCCUGUAAUACUUUAGAGUGUGGUUAAUACAAGAUUACCUUACUCUAUAAGGAGGAGGUCCUCGACCCGGCAGAGCAGGCCAAGCGCCGGGAGAAGAAGGUCGCCACCGAGCUAAAGAGGGAAUUCGAACAGUUCCAAGCCCGGAUGGCCGCUAAGAAAGCCGCUCCCAGUUCCACAUCCGUAAGAUUUGAGGGUCUUUUGGAGGACGAACUAAUAAUUGACGUCCUUCUGGAGAAAUUUAACUUUUUGAUGCUCCUUUUUCUCGUUCUCUCCUCAAUAACUUUUUUAAUGUAGAACAUGGGAAUUCCAACAGUUUAAGUUUUAAAGUGAUUUGAUUGUUAAGAAUGGAUUGGGCUACUACUUCUCAGUGGCUAAUGAUUUCCCUCCUGAAGAAGUUUGACUUUUUUCUGCUUAUUUUUCUUUUUUUCCCCGUCAAAGCAACUUUUCAAUGGAGAAAUUCUCCUUAAAUUAAUACUGUGGAAAUCACAAUUGGACUUUUUUUUUCUUCUGUUGGCUAAUUAUCCUCCUGAAUUACUUCAAUUUUUUUUUCUAGCUCCCGAAAAUAACAUUUUUAAUGUAGAACAUGUGAAUUUCCAAGAUGUUAAUUUUGAAGGUGAUUUGAGUCUUGCUAUUUUGGUUUAGAAUAGCUACUAUGCUAUAUGACUAUAUAUUUGAAACAUAUUUGGUUCAAUGGAUUGAAAGCAUUGGGUCCUUUUUUUCAAUGCUUCUGGAUGCGGAAAUAUGCAUGUACAGGUUUAUGAUUAGAAUCAUUUUGUAAAUGAAUAACAUUGGUUGGGUAUAAUUUUGGCAGGCAUCAGGGAAUGAGACGGGAGAGGAGAAUGGAGGGGUGGCAGCAUUGGAUAAGGAGAGGGUUUUGAAGGUCUCCUGGGAGCGAGAGUUGUGAGAUUACAGUGCUGUCAAGCUGCGAGAGCUGUUUGAUAGGUUUGGAGGGGAUGAAGAUGUUGUGAUGAGGACAAAAGGAUAAAAAAAGAGGGGUCCUGCCAUUGUCGUCGUGUCUUCCAAGGAUGCUGUGGCCAAUGAAAAGAAGAAAAACAUGCAAUAAUGUUGUGCAAGCUUACUUUGGAGAUAGUGAAAUGGUUUAAUUUUUCUUUGACAAUUUAUAGGCGAAGGGUGGAUGGUACAUUUUCUCACACAAAAGGAAACAAGCCUUAGCCACAGGUAUUGCAUUUGGAAGGAAUUUUGCCUUCUCAUAGAACUCAGACAUUAGCUGGAGGAUCCCUUCUGCACCUGGGUGCUGUAUAUUAGUUCAUCUAAGGACAUCUGUGCUUGCAAACUGAUGUACCAGUCUCCAAUGACAUUUUACUUUCGAGUA